UCGCCUGUUUAACAAAAACAUGUCUUUUUGAAUUAUUUAAAAAGUCUAACCUGCCCACUGAAUAAUUUUAAAUGGCCGCAGUAUCCUAACUGUGCAAAGGUAGCAUAAUCAUUAGUCUUUUAAUUGAAGGCUGGUAUGAAUGGUUGGACGAGAUAUUAACUGUUUCAUAAAAAUUUAUAAUAGAAUUUUAUUUUUUAGUCAAAAAGCUAAAAUAAAUUUAAAAGACGAGAAGACCCUAUAAAUCUUUAUAUUUAGGUAAUUAUAAUUUUCAGGAUUUUUUUUGUUAUGAUUGCUAAUAAUAUUUUAUUGGGGUGAUAUUAAAAUUUAAAAAACUUUUAAUUAAUAAAAUCAUUAAUUUAUGAAUAAUUGAUCCGUUAUUAACGAUUAAAAAUUUAAGUUACUUUAGGGAUAACAGCGUAAUUUUUUUGGAGAGUUCAUAUCGAUAAAAAAGAUUGCGACCUCGAUGUUGGAUUAAGAGAUAUAUUUAGGUGUAGCCGCUUAAAUGUUAAGUCUGUUCGACUUUUAAAUUCUUACGUGAUCUGAGUUCAGACCGGA
rnacentral:rRNA from 1 species